AUUGAACGCUGGCGGCAUGCCUUACACAUGCAAGUCGAACGGCAGCACGGGUGCCUGCACCUGGUGGCGAGUGGCGAACGGGUGAGUAAUACAUCGGAACAUGUCCUGUAGUGGGGGAUAGCCCGGCGAAAGCCGGAUUAAUACCGCAUACGAUCUACGGAUGAAAGCGGGGGACCUUCGGGCCUCGCGCUAUAGGGUUGGCCGAUGGCUGAUUAGCUAGUUGGUGGGGUAAAGGCCUACCAGGGCGACGAUCAGUAGCUGGUCUGAGAGGACGACCAGCCACACUGGGACUGAGACACGGCCCAGACUCCUACGGGAGGCAGCAGUGGGGAAUUUUGGACAAUGGGCGAAAGCCUGAUCCAGCAAUGCCGCGUGUGUGAAGAAGGCCUUCGGGUUGUAAAGCACUUUUGUCCGGAAAGAAAUCCUUGGCCCUAAUACGGUCGGGGGAUGACGGUACCGGAAGAAUAAGCACCGGCUAACUACGUG
rnacentral:rRNA from 1 species